CUUCAAGGAUACAAAGGGGACAUUACUGAGCCUUCCUCAGAGCGUUUGCUAAUGCUAAUGGGACAGCCUACGGACUCGUAGACUCGGUUUUCUCCUACCGACCUGGAUCACCAAAAACACUCAUUUGAGAUGGACAUGGACAGUCAGACUGCCAUGAUAAAUGUCCUGGCUGUCCUCGGGAAUGUCUCCUUACAGGACGCUGAGCAGGUCUUCCUUUCUGAUCCGGAUUAUCAUUGUAGGAGCUUCAAAGAAGAUAGAGAAAGACAGACGCUGAGUCCCAGUUCCCCUACUUAUACUACGACCUAAAAAAGAUCUGUCCCGAGACGCUCUCGAGUUACGUUGAGACUGAUGAUUCCCCAAUCUU